rnacentral:lncRNA from 10 species
UAGGAAUUCUGCUUUAACUUGUUCCUGCUUGUGGUGCAUACUACAGAAUGAAAUUAACAGCUCUAAAUACUCUGAAGUCCAAAGAAGUUGUAUGUUGGGUGGGCUCCCUUCAACUUUAACAUGGAAGUGCUUUCUGUGACUUUAAAAGAUCUGGACUUACCUCAAUUGCUUUUGCUGCUUGUUCUUUUGUUUCAAAUUCCACAAACGCAAAUCCCUUUGGAUCUCCAGUAGACUUAUAAUGUGGUAUACUUAUAUAAACAACAUUGCCACAUUUCCCAAAUACUCUUUCAAUCCAGCUGUGAUUAACAUUUUUGGGAAGUAACUCCUAUUAUAAAUUAAAAGCAAUAUUAGAGUUUUUCACAAUCAGAAUGUCAAUAAAUUUUUAACUUAAUUAUAUUGUUUCUGUGCCAGUUUCUGACUGGGGACCCGGGUUCUUAAGCUUACCACAUACACUGUGCGUUCAUCCUCAUCCUUUGGUCUUUCCCCCAGAGGUUUUUUCCUCCGGAUUCUGGUGCCUUCCAAAUCAAGCUUUAAAAUAGUAUAUUACAUUAAUAAAACUAAUAUUAUUUAUAAUUGUAAGCUAUAAUCAUAUAAUAAUCAUUACGUUAACAUUCUUUAUAAUUAUAAACUAUAAAUAUAA